CACUGUGGGCCUAAAGGCAUCAGAUCCCAUUUGAUCUUUGGGAGCUAAGCAGUCAGCCCUGGGUAGUACUUGGAUGGGAGACCCAUGAACCCCAGGUGCUGCAGGCU
rnacentral:rRNA from 1 species